rnacentral:tRNA from 1 species
AGGGGCGUGGGGCGAGCCGGCGACCGCGGCCGCGUGGUGGCUGGUCGUUCGGGGCUCCGCGCCCCUCGGGGUUCGGGCCUCCGUGCCCCUC